UACGGGGGGGGUAAGCGUUGUUCGGAAUUACUGGGCGUAAAGGGCUCGUAGGCGGCCAACUAAGUCGGACGUGAAAUCCCUCAGCUUAACUGGGGAACUGCGUCCGAUACUGGAUGGCUUGGAUUUGGGAGAGGGAUGCGGAAUUCCAGGUGUAGCGGUGAAAUGCGUAGAUAUCUGGAGGAACACCGGUGGCGAAGGCGGCAUCCUGGACCAAUAUUGACGCUGAGGGGCGAAAGCCAGGGGAGCAAACGGG
rnacentral:rRNA from 1 species